rnacentral:rRNA from 1 species
AUUGAACGCUGGCGGCAGGCCUAACACAUGCAAGUCGAGCGGGUGAAGGGAGCUUGCUCCUGGAUUCAGCGGCGGACGGGUGAGUAAUGCCUAGGAAUCUGCCUGGUAGUGGGGGAUAACGUCCGGAAACGGGCGCUAAUACCGCAUACGUCCUGAGGGAGAAAGUGGGGGAUCUUCGGACCUCACGCUAUCAGAUGAGCCUAGGUCGGAUUAGCUAGUUGGUGGGGUAAAGGCCUACCAAGGCGACGAUCCGUAACUGGUCUGAGAGGAUGAUCAGUCACACUGGAACUGAGACACGGUCAAGACUCCUAAGGGAGGCAGCAGUGGGGAAUAUUGGACAAUGGGCGAAAGCCUGAUCCAGCCAUGCCGAGUGUGUGAAGAAGGUCUUCGGAUUGUAAAGCACUUUAAGUUGGGAGGAAGGGCAGUAAGUUAAUACCUUGCUGUUUUGACGUUACCAACAGAAUAAGCACCGGCUAACUUCGUG